rnacentral:rRNA from 1 species
GGUCGGGGACAACAGAGGGAAACCUCUGCUAAAACCGGAUGUGCUGAGAAGUGAAAGAUUUAUUGCCUGAAGAGGAGCUCGCGUCUGAAUAGCUAGUUGGUGGGGUAAAGGCCUACCAAGGCAUCGAUCAGUAGCUGGUCUGAGAGGAUGAGCAGCCACACUGGGACUGAGACACGGCCCAGACUCCUACGGGAGACAGCAGUGGGGAAUUUUCCGCAAUGGGCGAAAGCCUGACGGAGCAAUAGCGCGUGAGGGAGGAAGGCUCUUGGGUUGUAAACCUCUUUUCUUAGGGAAGAACAAAAUGACGGUACCUAAGGAAUAAGCAUCGGCUAACUCCGUGCCAGCAGCCGCGGUAAUACGGAGGAUGCAAGCGUUAUCCGGAAUUAUUGGGCGUUAAGCGUCCGCAGGUGGCUUAAAAAGUCUGCU